rnacentral:rRNA from 1 species
AUUGAACGCUGGCGGCAGGCUUAACACAUGCAAGUCGAACGAUGAUUUCCCAGCUUGCUGGGAAUGAUUAGUGGCGGACGGGUGAGUAACAUUUAGGAAUCUGCCUAGUAGUGGGGGAUAGCUCGGGGAAACUCGAAUUAAUACCGCAUACGACCUACGGGUGAAAGGGGGCGCAAGCUCUUGCUAUUAGAUGAGCCUAAAUCAGAUUAGCUAGUUGGUGGGGUAAAGGCCCACCAAGGCGACGAUCUGUAACUGGUCUGAGAGGAUGAUCAGUCAAACCGGACCUGAGACACGGUCCGGACUCCUACGGGAGGCAGCAGUGGGGAAUAUUGGACAAUGGGGGCAACCCUGAUCCAGCCAUGCCGCGCGUGUGAAGAAGGCCUUUUGGUUGUAAAGCACUUUAAGCAGGGAGGAGAGGCUAAUGGUUAAUACCCAUUAGAUUAGACGUUACCUGCAGAAUAAGCACCGGCUAACUCUGUGCCAGCAGCCGCCGUAAUAC